AAGAUAAGCCAUGCAUUUCUAAGUAUAACCACUUUAUUCUGUGAAACUGCGAAUGGCUCAUUAAAUCAGUUAUCGUUUAUUUGAUAGUACCUUACUACAUGGAUACCUGUGGUAAUUCUAGAGCUAAUACAUGCUAAAAACCCCGACUUCAGGAAGGGGUGUAUUUAUUAGAUAAAAAACCAACGCCCUUCGGGGCUCCUUGGUGAAUCAUAAUAACUUAACGAAUCGCAUGGCCUUGCGCCGGCGAUGGUUCAUUCAAAUUUCUGCCCUAUCAACUUUCGAUGGUAGGAUAGUGGCCUACCAUGGUGGCAACGGGUAACGGGGAAUUAGGGUUCGAUUCCGGAGAGGGAGCCUGAGAAACGGCUACCACAUCCAAGGAAGGCAGCAGGCGCGCAAAUUACCCAAUCCCGAUACGGGGAGGUAGUGACAAUAAAUACUGAUACGGGGCUCUUUUGGGUCUCGUAAUUGGAAUGAGAACAAUUUAAAUCCCUUAACGAGGAACAAUUGGAGGGCAAGUCUGGUGCCAGCAGCCGCGGUAAUUCCAGCUCCAAUAGCGUAUAUUAAAGUUGUUGCAGUUAAAAAGCUCGUAGUUGAACCUUGGGUCUGGCUGGCCGGUCCGCCUCACCGCGAGUACUGGUCCGGCUGGACCUUUCCUUCUGGGGAACCUCAUGGCCUUCACUGGCUGUGGGGGGAACCAGGACUUUUACUGUGAAAAAAUUAGAGUGUUCAAAGCAGGCCUUUGCUCGAAUACAUUAGCAUGGAAUAAUAGAAUAGGACGUGCGGUUCUAUUUUGUUGGUUUCUAGGACCGCCGUAAUGAUUAAUAGGGAUAGUCGGGGGCGUCAGUAUUCAGCUGUCAGAGGUGAAAUUCUUGGAUUUGCUGAAGACUAACUACUGCGAAAGCAUUCGCCAAGGAUGUUUUCAUUAAUCAGGGAACGAAAGUUAGGGGAUCGAAGACGAUCAGAUACCGUCGUAGUCUUAACCAUAAACUAUGCCGACUAGGGAUCGGACGGGAUUCUAUGAUGACCCGUUCGGCACCUUACGAGAAAUCAAAGUUUUUGGGUCUGGGGGGAGUAUUCCA
rnacentral:rRNA from 1 species